GAGGAAAGCUGGCGGCGUGCCUAAUACAUGCGAGUCGAGCGAACGGACGAGAAGCUUGCUUCUCUGAUGUUAGCGGCGGACGGGUGAGUAACACGUGGAUAACCUACCUAUAAGACUGGGAUAACUUCGGGAAACCGGAGCUAAUACCGGAUGAUAUUUUGAACCGCAUGGUUCAAAAGUGAAAGACGGUCUUGCUGUCACUUAUAGAUGGAUCCGCGCUGCAUUAGCUAGUUGGUAAGGUAACGGCUUACCAAGGCAACGAUGCAUAGCCGACCUGAGAGGGUGAUCGGCCACACUGGAACUGAGACACGGUCCAGACUCCUACGGGAGGCAGCAGUAGGGAAUCUUCCGCAAUGGGCGAAAGCCUGACGGAGCAACGCCGCGUGAGUGAUGAAGGUCUUCGGAUCGUAAAACUCUGUUAUUAGGGAAGAACAUAUGUGUAAGUAACUGUGCACAUCUUGACGGUACCUAAUCAGAAAGCCACGGCUAACUACGUG
rnacentral:rRNA from 1 species